UGGCGGACGGGUGAGUAACGCGUGGGUAACCUGCCCCAUACCGGGGGAUAACAUUCAGAAAUGAGUGCUAAUACCGCAUAAGACCACAGUGCCGCAUGGCACAGGGGUCAAAACUCCGGUGGUAUGGGAUGGACCCGCGUCUGAUUAGGUAGUUGGCGGGGUAACGGCCCACCAAGCCGACGAUCAGUAGCCGACCUGAGAGGGUGACCGGCCACACUGGGACUGAGACACGGCCCAGACUCCUACGGGAGGCAGCAG
rnacentral:rRNA from 1 species